GGAUGCGAAUGGAGGGCCGUGCAACAGCUUGCUCAGUGACACGGCAUUCUGGAACCAGCAUUCUGGAACCAGAAUCCUCCUUCGGGGCGGGGAGGCACGCCACCUCCAGUUUUCUUUAAGCACUUGAGGAAAGCAUUCCUUUUACUCCAGCCAUCAAAAAUAAACAGAAGAGCGAGCACAUUCUCCAGACCUCGUCCAGGAAUAGAGCUUGGGGAUCAAGUUCACACCGUCUGUGAUUAGGCCCCCUCUGCAGCUCCAGCCACUUCUCCUUCCGGUUUACCUCGCACGCCUGCACCUCUACCCACGGCUUCAUCCGGCCAGGCUGAAGAACCGGCAAUAGAGGUCGGAUCUAAGGUACGCUGGCUCCAGCCCCAGGGCCUUUGCACGUGCUAUUCCCCCGCCUCAUCUGUCUCCUCAGUCCCCAGACUCUAUCCCAGAUCCCCUGCUCUGGGAAGCUUUCUCGCCUUCCUAGAGAGUUAAUCUCUCUCUUUCCUUGGCCUCUCCCUCUACUCAACCUCCAGCACAGCUCCAUUAUACGGACUGGUACUUUUUCACCCUUGUUGACUCCCACUGGACUACAACCUCCUCGCAAGCAGGAAUCACGUGUAUUAUUUAUUCUUGCAUUCCCAGUCCUUAGCCCAGCACGGGGGGUUAGCUGGGUACUCAAUAAAUGCUGCUUCAAAUGAAAAAAAAAAAAAAAUAUCUGAGGCCCAAGCGAAUGCUACCUGGAGUCUGGUUCAGCAAACAUGUGUUAAAGGGUGAGGUCUGAAUGAUCGUUUGUAUGUGUCGUUGAUAGGAUACAAUUUUUCCCCAGUGUAGUAAAUAAGGCUUUAAGUACCUACAAGCUAGUGGUAAGAAGCUAUGCAAAGAGGAAUUAGUGGACUGAUAGUUUUACAUUCCCUGGAAAAUAGAGAGAUAACACAGAAAAGUUUUAGAACGAAAGCCUGGCAGUCCCAUCUUAGGGCAGCUUCCAAUGUAUUCAAAGUGGCCGUGAGCUCCGACACCAGAAGGGAAAUGUGGUUUUUGCCAGACUGAAAGGAUCUUUCAUUACUAGUCCCCCCGGAUUAUGAGCUUUUGAUCACG